AUGCAUAUGCAUGAAAGAAAUGAAAUAGAUAAAACUUUAUUUGAACAACGACCUCCGCUCAAACACAAUUUGCCUAUUGAAACUCUAGGAGGUCCACCUCCACCUAAGGGUGAUCCAGUGUUUGAAUUAAAACAAUUGCCAGACACUUUGAAAUAUGCUUAUCUUGAUGAGAAAGGGAUAUAUCCUGUUAUUAUCAGUGCUAAUCUUUCAGAACAUGAAGAAGAAAGAUUAUUGAAAAUUCCGAAGAAGCACCGAGCUGCUAUUGGGUAUACUCUUGAUGAUCUUAAGGGCAUUAGUCCCACUCUAUGUCAGCACAAUAUUAAUAUGGAACCUGAUGUUAAACCCGUUGUUGAUCACCAACGAUGUUUGAAUCCUAAGAUGAAAGAAGUGGUAAGAACUGAAAUAUUAAAGCUUCUUGAAGCAGGUAUAAUCUAUCCCAUAGCUUAUAGUAGAUGGGCAAGUCCCGUUCAUUGUGUCCCUAAGAAGGGAGGUAUUACUGUUGUGCCUAAUGAUAAAAAUGAAUUAAUUCCAUAG
rnacentral:rRNA from 1 species